GGGAAUUUUGCGCAAUGGGGGAAACCCUGACGCAGCAACGCCGCGUGGAGGAUGAAAUCCCUUGGGAUGUAAACUCCUUUCGACUGGGAAGAUAAUGACGGUACCAGGAGAAGAAGCCCCGGCUAACUUCGUGCCAGCAGCCGCGGUAAUACGAGGGGGGCAAGCGUUGUUCGGAAUUAUUGGGCGUAAAGGGCGCGUAGGCGGUUUGACAAGUCUUGUGUGAAAUCUCUGGGCUCAACCCAGAGUCUGCACGGGAAACUGUCGGGCUAGAGGAUGGGAGAGGUGAGUGGAAUUUCCGGUGUAGCGGUGAAAUGCGUAGAUAUCGGAAGGAACACCUGUGGCGAAAGCGGCUCACUGGACCAUUUCUGACGCUGAGGCGCGAAAGCUAGGGGAGCAAAC
rnacentral:rRNA from 1 species